rnacentral:rRNA from 1 species
GACGAACGCUGGCGGCGUGCUUAACACAUGCAAGUCGAACGGAAAGGCCCUGCUUUUGUGGGGUGCUCGAGUGGCGAACGGGUGAGUAACACGUGAGUAACCUGCCCUUGACUUUGGGAUAACUUCAGGAAACUGGGGCUAAUACCGGAUAGGAUCUCCUGCUGCAUGGUGGGGGUUGGAAAGUUUCGGCGGUUGGGGAUGGACUCGCGGCUUAUCAGCUUGUUGGUGGGGUAGUGGCUUACCAAGGCUUUGACGGGUAGCCGGCCUGAGAGGGUGACCGGCCACAUUGGUACUGAGAUACGGCGCAGACUCCUACGGGAGGCAGCAGUGGGGAAUAUUGCACAAUGGGCGGAAGCCUGAUGCAGCAACGCCGCGUGCGGGAUGACGGCCUUCGGGUUGUAAACCGCUUUCGCCUGUGACGAAGCGGGAGUGACGGUAAUGGGUAAAGAAGCACCGGCUAACUACGUG